rnacentral:rRNA from 1 species
GACGAACGCUGGCGGCGUGCUUAACACAUGCAAGUCGAGCGGUAAGGCCCUUUCGGGGGUACACGAGCGGCGAACGGGUGAGUAACACGUGGGUGACCUGCCCUCAGCUCUGGGAUAAGCCUGGGAAACCGGGUCUAAUACCGGAUAUGACUCCAUGACGCAUGUUGUGGGGUGGAAAGCCUUGUGCGGCUGAGGAUGGGCCCGCGGCCUAUCAGCUUGUUGGUGGGGGAUGGCCUACCAAGGCGACGACGGGUAGCCGGCCUGAGAGGGCGACCGGCCACACUGGGACUGAGACACGGCCCAGACUCCUACGGGAGGCAGCAGUGGGGAAUAUUGGACAAUGGGCGAAAGCCUGAUCCAGCGAUGCCGCGUGUGUGAAGAAGGCCUGCGGGUUGUAAAGCACUUUCAGUAGGGAAGAAAUGCUUGGAGCUAACACCGCCAAGUUUUGACGUUACCUACAGAAGAAGCACCGGCUAACUCCGUGCCAGCAGCCGC